rnacentral:rRNA from 1 species
GAUGAACGCUGGCGGCGUGCCUAAUACAUGCAAGUCGAGCGAACAGACGAGGAGCUUACUCCUCUGACGUUAGCGGCGGACGGGUGAGUAACACGUGGAUAACCUACCUAUAAGACUGGGAUAACUUCGGGAAACCGGAGCUAAUACCGGAUAACAUGUUGAACCGCAUGGUUCAACAGUGAAAGACGGUCUUGCUGUCACUUAUAGAUGGAUCCGCGUCGCAAUAGCUAGUUGGUAAGGUAACGGCUUACCAAGGCAACGAUGCGUAGCCGACCUGAGAGGGUGAUCGGCCACACUGGAACUGAGACACGGUCCAGACUCCUACGGGAGGCAGCAGUAGGGAAUCUUCCGCAAUGGGCGAAAGCCUGACGGAGCAACGCCGCGUGAGUGAAGAAGGUCUUCGGAUCGUAAAACUCUGUUAUUAGGGAAGAACAAAUGUGUAAGUAACUAUGCACGUCUUGACGGUACCUAAUCAGAAAGCCACGGCUAACUACGUG